rnacentral:rRNA from 1 species
GAUGAACGCUAGCUACAGGCUUAACACAUGCAAGUCGAGGGGCAUCAGUUUGGUUUGCUUGCAAACCAAAGCUGGCGACCGGCGCACGGGUGAGUAACACGUAUCCAACCUGCCUCAUACUCGGGGAUAGCCUUUCGAAAGAAAGAUUAAUAUCCGAUAGCAUAUAUUUCCCGCAUGGGUUUUAUAUUAAAGAAAUUCGGUAUGAGAUGGGGAUGCGUUCCAUUAGUUUGUUGGGGGGGUAACGGCCCACCAAGACUACGAUCAGUAGCCGACCUGAGAGGGUGACCGGCCACAUUGGGACUGAGACACGGCCCAA